rnacentral:lncRNA from 1 species
UUAGGGUUUUUAUCACCAUUGCAGCUUUCUAACUUAAAGCUAUGUCUGCAAACAACUCUUGUAACAAAUCACCAUCACCAUUGACCUCCAUAGUCCCGCCACCAUCAAGAUCCAGCCCUUAGAAAUCGAUAUUCAAUCUCUGAUUCUUUAUUAAUAGCGGAUUGAUUGGCGAAAUCGAGAACUCAACCGAGUCGUUUACAGCGGCGAGCUCCGGCGUCGAUUCAGGUAACUCCGGUGAGUAACUGGAAUGUUGUGAUUCAGUUAUUAUCUCUGUUAGCAACGCCACCUGACGUGAAGAGAAACUGUGUUGAUAUUAGUGACGAUAAACUGUGCCGUAGCCGAAGAAGGCUCUGAUUGUGUGUAAACAGUGACAACAUCCGGCUGCUCCGUUUUAUUAUGAGCCGGUGUUAUGAACCGUGUAGACUCUCGUAGGCCCAACCUUGUGGCCCGUUUAAUAAGCCCAACAAGACAAGCUAGAUAUAAUACUGGGAGUUUAGAUUACGGAGAUUAUGAAAAGAUUGUUUAAGCUACUUGAGUGUGUUCUUCUUCCCAUCUCCAUUGUUCUUCUGUAUUCCCAUCUUCUUCUUGUAUUAAGUUGUAAUCCUAUCGGUUAAUCAAUUCGAGAUCUACCUUUAUUCCUAAUUUGAUUAUCUCUUAGCUGAGUGAAUAUCAAUUCACUUCAGCCGGCGCAAAUUCAGUUGCAAUCAAUUUGUAGUGGUGGUGUUGAUAGAAGUUGAUUGUUGAUUGAUAGAUUUAGUAGGUUUAGGUUUUGUCAUAGCAACGUGUAUUUUGAUCUAGAAGUUAGAUUGAAUAAUAUCAGUUUUCUCUUGUUUUUGAUUGAUUUGUUUUUAAUAAGUUAUGGUGGCGGGACUAUGGAGGUCAAUGGUGAUGGUGAUGAUGUCGGUGGUCGACGGUGUUGGUGUGCGGUGGUGUAGGUGGUAGUGGCCUGAUGAUGAUAAUUGUAGAAGUUGUAUGUAGAGAGAGAAGGUACAGGGGAGAUGAUGAUCAUGGUUAG